UACAGAGGUCUCAAGCGUUGUUCGGAUUCAUUGGGCGUAAAGGGUGCGUAGGUGGCGCUGUAAGUCGGGUGUGAAAUUUCGGAGCUUAACUCCGAAACUGCAUUCGAUACUGCGGUGCUUGAGGACUGGAGAGGAGACUGGAAUUCAUGGUGUAGCAGUGAAAUGCGUAGAGAUCAUGAGGAAGACCAGUGGCGAAGGCGGGUCUCUGGACAGUUCCUGACACUGAGGCACGAAGGCCAGGGGAGGCAAACGGG
rnacentral:rRNA from 1 species